rnacentral:rRNA from 1 species
GACGAACGCUGGCGGCGUGCCUAAUACAUGCAAGUCGAGCGAAGUUUUUCUGGUGCUUGCACUAGAAAAACUUAGCGGCGAACGGGUGAGUAACACGUAAAGAACCUGCCUCAUAGACUGGGACAACUAUUGGAAACGAUAGCUAAUACCGGAUAACAGCAUUAACUGCAUGGUUGAUGUUUAAAAGUUGGUUUUGCUAACACUAUGAGAUGGCUUUGCGGUGCAUUAGCUAGUUGGUGGGGUAAAGGCCUACCAAGGCGACGAUGCAUAGCCGACCUGAGAGGGUGAUCGGCCACACUGGGACUGAGACACGGCCCAGACUCCUACGGGAGGCAGCAGUAGGGAAUCUUCCGCAAUGGGAGAAAGCCUGACGGAGCAACGCCGCGUGAGUGAAGAAGGAUUUCGGUUCGUAAAGCUCUGUUGUUAGGGAAGAAUGAUUGUGUAGUAACUAUACACAGUAGAGACGGUACCUAACCAGAAAGCCACGGCUAACUACGUGCCAGCAGCCGCGGUAAUACGUAGGUGGCAAGCGUUGUCCGGAAUUAUUGGGCGUAAAGCGCGCGCAGGUGGUUUAAUAAGUCUGAUGUGAAAGCCCACGGCUCAACCGUGGAGGGUCAUUGGAAACUGUUAAACUUGAGUGCAGGAGAGAAAAGUGGAAUUCCUAGUGUAGCGGUGAAAUGCGUAGAGAUUAGGAGGAACACCAGUGGCGAAGGCGGCUUUUUGGCCUGUAACUGACACUGAGGCGCGAAAGCGUGGGGAGCAAACAGG